AACGAACGCUGGCGGCAUGCCUAACACAUGCAAGUCGAACGAGACCUUCGGGUCUAGUGGCGCACGGGUGCGUAACGCGUGGGAACCUGCCCUUAGGUUCGGAAUAACUCCCCGAAAGGGGUGCUAAUACCGGAUAAUGUCUUCGGACCAAAGAUUUAUCGCCUUUGGAUGGGCCCGCGUUGGAUUAGCUAGUUGGUAGGGUAAAAGCCUACCAAGGCGACGAUCCAUAGCUGGUCUGAGAGGAUGAUCAGCCACACUGGGACUGAGACACGGCCCAGACUCCGACGGGAGGCAGCAGUGGGGAAUAUUGGACAAUGGGCGAAAGCCUGAUCCAGCAAUGCGGCGUGAGUGAUGAAGGCCUUAGGGUUGUAAAGCUCUUUUACCCGGGAUGAGAAUGACAGUACCGGGAGAAUAAGCUCCGGCUAACUCCGUG
rnacentral:rRNA from 1 species